CCUACGGGUGGCAGCAGUGGGGAAUAUUGGACAAUGGGCGAAAGCCUGAUCCAGCCAUGCCGCGUGUGUGAAGAAGGCCUUCGGGUUGUAAAGCACUUUCAGUGGGGAAGAAAGCCUUGGGGCUAAUACCCUCGAGGAAGGACAUCACCCACAGAAGAAGCACCGGCUAACUCCGUGCCAGCAGCCGCGGUAAUACGGAGGGUGCGAGCGUUAAUCGGAAUUACUGGGCGUAAAGCGCGCGUAGGCGGUCUGAUAAGCCGGUUGUGAAAGCCCCGGGCUCAACCUGGGAACGGCAUCCGGAACUGUCAGGCUAGAGUGCAGGAGAGGAAGGUAGAAUUCCCGGUGUAGCGGUGAAAUGCGUAGAGAUCGGGAGGAAUACCAGUGGCGAAGGCGGCCUUCUGGACUGACACUGACGCUGAGGUGCGAAAGCGUGGGUAGCAACCAGGAUUAGAUACCCUAGUAGUC
rnacentral:rRNA from 1 species